AUUGAACGCUGGCGGCAGGCCUAACACAUGCAAGUCGAACGAGUGGCGGACGGGUGAGUAAUGUCUGGGAAACUGCCCGCUGGAGGGGGAUAACUACUGGAAACGGUAGCUAAUACCGCAUACCAUCGGAUGUGCCCAGAUGGGCUUAGCUAGUAGGUGGGGUAAAGGCUCACCUAGGCGACGAUCCCUAGCUGGUCUGAGAGGAUGACCAGCCAAACUGGAACUGAGACACGGUCCAGACUCCUACGGUAGGCAGCAGUGUGGAAUAUUGCACAAUGGGCGCAAGCCUGAGACAGCCAUGCCGCGUGUAUGAAGAAGGCCUUCGGUUUGUAAAGUACUUUCAGCGGGGAGGCGUUACCCGCAGAAGAAGCACCGGCUAACUCCGUGCCAGCAGCCGCGGUAAUAC
rnacentral:rRNA from 1 species